UACGUAGGGGGCAAGCGUUAUCCGGAUUUACUGGGUGUAAGGGGAGCGUAGACGGCAGGGCAAGUCUGAUGUGAGAGCCCGCGGCCCAACCGCGGGACUGCAUUGGGAACUACCGGGCUGGAGUGCCGGAGAGGUAGGCGGAAUUCCUAGUGUAGCGGUGAAAUGCGUAGAUAUUAGGAGGAACACCAGUGGCGAAGGCGGCCUACUGGACGGUGACUGACGCUGAGGCUCGAAAGCGUGGGGAGCAAACGGG
rnacentral:rRNA from 1 species